AACGCACAUUGCACUCUUUUAGAGUAUGCCUGUUUGAGAAUCUAAUGUAUUUCUUUUACCUAUUUUAUGGGCAAACAUUCGAUAGUGUAACGGUUUGAAACGUCUCUACCCAGAGAGUUUUGAAAUGCAUUACUGUUUUGUAAAGGCACUGUGUUGAUCCUUUGCAUAGAAUAACAGAAACGUAUUUGACUGACACCUUGGUUUCAUUAUGAUACUGAUUAUGUUAUUUGCAUAGGGGAAUGGUAACAUUCUUGGCAGUUCAUAACCUAUAAAAAGAAGUCUUUGACUACUCUUGAACUUAGGACUCAGAUCAGGUAGGGCUACCCGCUGAAAUUAA
rnacentral:misc_RNA from 1 species